AUUUCUUGGUUUCGGAGAAAUCCCUUAAUGAGGAAGAUGAAGAAUUCCAUUAAUGAGUUCUUGAAUUUUUGUUUUGUAAAAGAGAAGAAGAAGACAUGACGUGCCAAUUUAAAUUCAUUAAGAAAAAGUAAUAAUUAAAAUAUUUAUUAUAUUAUUAAAAUUAAUGACGUGGCAAUCAAAAAAUAAAGAAUUUAAAGUGAAAUGGGGUCAACUGACGCGUCCAUGGGCGAGUGUAGUCACGUUCAGUGACAGGUCAGCAACUGAGGGGUAAUAAAUUCGGUAAAAAUAAGUUUAGGGGGAUAAUAAGUUUCUUUUAAAGGUUGAGUGUGUGGUUGAGAUUUCGACUAAAGGUUGGUAGGUAAUAGAUCAUUUUCUCUAUAAGUUAUAAGAGUGCAAUAAUUUUUGAAACUGACCUUUCAUAUUAGGUUAGUAUAUUAUUUGUACGUUCUCUAUUAUUUUGCUAUCACAACAAAAAGAUAUC
rnacentral:lncRNA from 1 species